UAUUGUUGGCAGGGACCUAGAGCAAUCGAUGCUAGAUUAAUGUUCAACCCAAUAUUUUCGACGGUAGUCACUUCUUUUGGAUAUUUCUUUAAAUGUUCUUUGCCUACUCCGUCUUUUAAUCCUUAUCUUUAACGAAUAAGAACGGAUUUUAUGGUAGAAUCUGGAUAAAUUCAUGUGGUGGUUGGUGUUACAUUUGGUAUUGGUGGAGGGUCUCUAAAGAUUACAUCAGGAAUUUUACAUUUCAAGCUGACAAAGCGAGUAAAUUUGACUAAUGAGUUGUAAAAUGAUUCAUCAUUCGACGUAUGAAAUAUUAAGUAGGAAAAAAAAAUAAAAUUCGAGAAGGAGUUUAUUACUUGGAAACUUUUUCAACAGUUUUCAAACUACUUCUACGUACGAUUUCUACUUUUAACUCGGCCAUCUAUUGAAUAACAAUGUCGGAAAGAAUCAAUUUGCAAACCAAAAAAGCCUUUUUUUUUUUUUUAUUUUCUCGA